AGCCUCCUUCUAGAUUACAAUGGACCCUGCUGAUUGUGUCCAAAAUUGGUUAAUGUGGCUAAAAUUGAGACACAGGUCAUGGUUCCAUUACAGUAAACUUUUGCAGUGGUGACAAUGAGACAUGUAAUAUUU
rnacentral:snoRNA from 1 species